ACACAUGCAAGUCGAACGAGAGAGAGGGAGCUUGCUUCCUCAAUCGAGUGGCGAACGGGUGAGUAACGCGUGAGGAACCUGCCUCAAAGAGGGGGACAACAGUUGGAAACGACUGCUAAUACCGCAUAAGCCCACGACCCGGCAUCGGGAAGAGGGAAAAGGAGCAAUCCGCUUUGAGAUGGCCUCGCGUCCGAUUAGCUAGUUGGUGAGGUAACGGCCCACCAAGGCGACGAUCGGUAGCCGGACUGAGAGGUUGAACGGCCACAUUGGGACUGAGACACGGCCCAGACUCCUACGGGAGGCAGCAGUGGGGAAUAUUGCACAAUGGGGGAAACCCUGAUGCAGCGACGCCGCGUGGAGGAAGAAGGUCUUCGGAUUGUAAACUCCUGUUGUUGAGGAAGAUAAUGACGGUACUCAACAAGGAAGUGACGGCUAACUACGUGCCAGCAGCCGCGGUAAAACGUAGGUCACAAGCGUUGUCCGGAAUUACUGGGUGUAAAGGGAGCGCAGGCGGGCGAUCAAGUUGGAAGUGAAAUCCAUGGGCUCAACCCAUGAACUGCUUUCAAAACUGGUCGUCUUGAGUAGUGCAGAGGUAGGCGGAAUUCCCGGUGUAGCGGUGGAAUGCGUAGAUAUCGGGAGGAACACCAGUGGCGAAGGCGGCCUACUGGGCACCAACUGACGCUGAGGCUCGAAAGUGUGGGUAGCAAACAGGAUUAGAUACCAUGGUAGUCCACACCGUAAACGAUGAUUACUAGGUGUUGGGAGAUUGACCCUCUCAGUGCCGCAGUUAACACAAUAAGUAAUCCACCUGGGGAGUACGACCGCA
rnacentral:rRNA from 1 species